rnacentral:tRNA from 1 species
UCUAAUAUGGCAGAAAAGUGCAAUGGAUUUAAGCUCCAAAUAUAAAGAAUUCAACUUUUGUUAGAA